rnacentral:lncRNA from 1 species
GAGAACCUUUGUGUCUAGCUCAGGGAUUGUAAACGCACCAAUCAGCGCCCUGUCAAAACAGACCACUCGGCUCUACCAAUCAGCAGGAUGUGGGUGGGGCCAGAUAAGAGAAUAAAAGCAGGCUGCCCCAGCCAGCAGUGGUAACCUGCUGGGGUUCCCUUCCACGCUGUGGGAGGUUUGUUCUUUCGCUCUUUGCAAUAAUUCUUGCUGCUGCUCACUCCUUGGGUCCACACUGCCUUUAUGAGCUGUAACACUCACUGUGAAGGUCUGCAGCUUCAGUCCUGAAGCCAGCGAGACCACGAGCCCACCAGAAGGAACGAACGACUGCAGACGUGCCGCCUUAAGAGCUAUAACACUCACCUCGAAGAUCCGCAGCUUCACUCCUGAGCCAGCGAGACCAAGAACCCACCAGAAGGAAGAAACUGCCAACACAUCCGAACAUCAGAAGGAACGAGCUCCAGACACGCAGCCUUUAAGAACUGUAACACUCACUGCGAGGGUUCGCGGCUUCAUUCUUGAAGUCAGUGAGACCAAGAACCCACCAAUUCCGGACCCACUGGCAUUACAGGCGUGAAUCACUGUGUCUGGCCAAAAAGGAUCUAAUCUUAUAGCAGUGGAAUGAGGGGGAAGCCCAGCAAGGCCCAUCUGUUUGGAGUCUUCCUGGACUUCUGGGGCCUGACCCUUUUGGAACGGGGGUUUUAAGAUUCAUAAUCGACAAAGGAAGUGGGUUCUUGAUAUGUUGCCCAGGCUGAGAGUUUCGUUAUGGCCAGCUGUGACACAGAAAGGGUUGUUCCUACUUUGGCCAUUGGAGCUCUUUCCAGUUAGCUUCUCUUCCUUGGACAGCUUCCAUACGUUUUUGAGCACUUCCUUAUUUCUGACACCAGAAGAUGACUCAGGCUUGACUUGUAUUCUCCCCGUCCAACAAUGGAAUCUGCCAUUUCUCCAAGGAGCCCUGAUUCCUUUUAUUUGAGCGUGGUACAUAGAAGCUGAGCAACUUUUUCUCUCUUUCUAAUAAAUGCUAAUUCAGGAAAAAUAAAAAACUUAUAAAACAAAACUUCUCCUCUCAAAAUAAAAAUAAUUUUACGCAGUCCCAUAAGAGAAUACACAUUUUAAAAAUAUGUACAGCCUAUGCAAUUGACUAGAAUAGUGUUGGUGAGAACAUUCACACUGGCUUUAAUUAAAAAUUAAUGGUUAAUAUUUUUGCACUUUUAUGAAGCAACAGAAAUCUGAUCUUUAGUACUGAGAUAAAGUUUUUGUGUUUGAUGCAGUUUGCCCACCCAAACUAUCUGCGGGCUACAGUUUGCCCAUUUCUAUUCUAGAUUGCUGUUGGGGUAGAUUAGAAUUGUUGAGCGAAUUGACUAAAUUGCUCCAGUCUUUUUGAAAGGCCCAGUUGUCCCUUUGAAAUAUUUAUGGGUUUUUGAAUAAAGGUAGAAAUUAACCCUCCCACUCUUAAAACUUGAAACUUAUAUGUGUCUCAUCUGAGUGGUUUCCUCAGGAAACAGACCCUCACGCAAGGGACUGAAACUCACCAGAUCACCAUAUCCAGACCAUGAGAUCUAAGGUCUCUUACCCAUCGUGAUUGCUCCCUUACCCCUCCCUCAUUCCUGUAUUCCUGCAUGUAGUGACAUCCCUUCUCUGCUAUGUAAGCCCCAAAUUUUAGUGGGUCAAGGAAAAGGAUUUGAGACUUAUCUCCUGUUCUUCUUGACUGCAGCUCACAAAUAAAGUCUUCUUUCCUGGCGUAUUAAAGGGAGCCUAGUCUGUGUCAGCUACCAUCUGGCA